AUUGAACGCUGGCGGAAUGCUUUACACAUGCAAGUCGAACGGCAGCACGGACUUCGGUCUGGUGGCGAGUGGCGAACGGGUGAGUAAUGUAUCGGAACGUGCCCAGUCGUGGGGGAUAACGUAGUGAAAGGAGUGCUAAUACCGCAUAAGCUCCCGGGUUCUAGAGACCUGAGAGAAAAGGGGAAACCCGCUUGUGGAGGAGGCUGCGGCCCAUCAGGUAGUUGGUGCGGUAAUGGCGCACCAAGCCAACGACGGGUAGGGGACCUGAGAGGGUGAUCCCCCACACUGGGACUGAGACACGGCCCAGACUCCUACGGGAGGCAGCAGUGAGGAAUAUUGCCCAAUGGAGGAAACUCUGAGGCAGCGACGCCGCGUGGGUGAUGAAGGCCUUCGGGUCGUAAAGCCCUUUCUGCAUGACGAGAGCGGACGGUAGUGCAGGGAAUAAGUCUCGGCUAACUACGUG
rnacentral:rRNA from 1 species